AGUUUUUAGAAUACAAUAUAUUCACAGGAUUCAACUUUUAAAUGACUUACUUUCAUAUAAAAUAUUGAGUAGCAUUCACAGUACUCAGCUGAUGGUAAGGCCAAAGCUACAUUCUGCGAAAUUUGUUUAUUCAACCAGAUCCAAUAAGAUCUGGAAGUGAAAAUCUCCAGUACUGUUUGUGUUCGUGAAGCUUUUGAUUUUCUUGUUCGUCAAGCUGACGACAUCUUAGUACAAAUUGAAUUUUGAGUACUAGUGGCGCAACGAUUGCCGUAUUAUUUUGUUUUGAAAUUUCGAUAGUUCACGAGUUAGAUAGACCGAAUCCGACUGAAAAAGUGUGUUUUAAGUUUCCCCUCUUUUCAUUUUUUUGGGUUUUAAGAGAUGCACUAUCGAAGGCGCAUUUUCAUGUUGAAAUCGGCAUCUGACACCCUCACCAUACUCUGCUGGUAUAUUUUUCCCCUUUUGCAUUUGAUGACAUGAUUAUUUUCGUUCUGUUUUAUGCUUGUGGGUUUAUUGUGACCCACAACUUGUGAGCUACUCAAGCUUAUAUACCAACAAAAUACACACAUUAAAGCACUUUCCGGAGCACACAAAACAUAAAACGCACGAAUGUAAUAAAGCAGUUUAUGUAAAUAGCUCUGAAAUAGUUUGCUAGAACCACGUCAAUGAUCAUUUAAUAUUGAAGAUAAUACUUUUGGUUAGUUUCAGCAUCGUUCCAAUAUUUUUUCUUGUUAAAAAACAAUUACAGUUUUUGAUGUAUGUUUUUUUACCACUUGACACACAACAUCGAUGAACCACUGUUUGUAUCGGAUUCAAUGAAUGAUUGAACUCUUUAGUGAACUAAGAAACCAAUUCCAAUUUGAGAAAAAUGUUUGAACUGAAGUUAGAAUUGAAAAAAUGUGUCUUCAUAUUUGCUCCGUAGAUUCUAUAGACGCGAUGUCUUCGAAGCUAAAGAGGGGAAACAGAAUAUUACACAAUUGUGGGGUCAUGCGAUAUAUAUCAAAUGAGAAUUGUAGUGUAAAUUCUUAGCAAACAUAUACAUCGACAACAAGGAUGUUUUACCUUUGUCUAAUUACUUUUUUUUCUAAUUAAUUAUGAACGACGCCAUCCAAGGAGGAAAAAAAUAAUCAUUAAAAUAAACAUUUAAGGAGAAACGGUAAAUAUACUUAAUUUGGAGAAACAUUUGUACAUCCGAAUGAACUGUCAUUGUGUACGGUGAAGGCUGCACACUGCUCCACCCACAAGAGCUCGAGCUUGCAGAGGUGUUAUCAGCUAACAUUCUGAAAGCAUUUUGAAUGGUGCACGAUUAUCGCUUAUGGACGCAAUUAGAUGAAGCGCAAAUUGUGAUACGAUUUCUUACUCUCCGAACUAAGCAAUCCAUUUUAUUUUAUGUUAGCGCUUACAGCGCACGCCAAUUUGUAGUCACUUGGAAUUUACGUGGUACAAUUCGCAUGCUGAAUUCAACUUGAAAUAGCAUGGAAAUUAAUUCGGCUAUUCAGUGGUUAAUGAGCCCAUUUUUAGUUGUGACCGUAUAUUUCUUGUUGUCCCAUCUUAAGCUAAUAUUUUGUUGCAAAUGGAAAUGUACAAGCACCAUAAAAUCACUUGGUCUCUUCAUACUUCGUAUCAUAAAUUUAAAACAAUUUGCCCGAAACAAUCUUUGCAAUUAUUUAAUGAUAAUGACGAUGACUUUUUGUAUCAAUCGGAACGUUCCCUUUGUCAAGUGUGCUUAAGACGUAGCGCGAACUCAACUGACGGGGCAAGAUGAAAACAAUUGGUAAAAUGGGGAAAAAAGCGGAUGAUGGAACAAAAAUGCUCAAGGAAUAAAAUGAUUGAAUGAGGUCUGCGCCAUCCAAUUUUUUGUGUGUUGUAUGUCUAGAAGCACUUCUUCUUCGGUGUUUGCUUCCAUCUUUGUCCGUUUUGUUUCCCUUUUUUAAAUUCUUUUUGAGUAUAAGAUUUUUCUUUUAUUUUCUCAUAUUAUUAUUAUUAUCAUUACAGACAAAAUGAUGACUAUUUAGCAUUUUAUAUCUAAGAAAAUAUGACAAUAUGAAUCGUAUGCAAUCGAAAAUGAAGACCGAGCAAAAAAUAUUAAUGAUACUCAUUCCGAAAUGAUGGAAAGUUAUUUCAAGAAAAUGGUGAAUAGAAUCAUUCUCAUUAAAUCGAGGUAGUCGAUUAUAGUGGCGCAGUGCUGAUGCUGGGUCUAUGGAUUCUUUCUCCGUUCGAUGUAUGAUGAUGUGUUGGAGUACAUUUUUUUCUUCCUUUUUUUCCAGCCGGAUCAAACAAGCAACACAAAGCAUUGAGAAGAGAAGAUAAAUGACCCUUCCAUGAAGCGAUAUGAAAGUAAAUCUGCGAUACCAUGCUACGACAUGAUAAUGAAGACAAAACAAACAUGCGAAGCGAAUAAAAGGAGCAAAAAAUAAAUUAUUAUUGAUAUUGCGAUGAAUAAUAAUGAGAAUUUUUCAUAUAAUAUCUAUUCAUGGACAGAAAAUGAAGAUGCAGCGAAAAAAAGUUCUGUAAAAUGGGGCAAUUUAUUAGUCCAGUUCUUUUCCGUUUCAUUUCGAUUCAGCUAAAUCGCAAGAUUUCUCCUCAUUACUUUAGCUUAAUACACCUACAGAUAGAUUUUUUUUUGUUACCGAUUAAUUGAUGAUGCUAUUUACUGAGACAUAUUUACAAAGAGCAUUUUUCUUGAAACAAUGUGGAAAUACUAGAUGAGUCCGAUUGAAUAUAGUAGCAUCAAUAUUUAUUUUCAGAGAUGGAAAGGUCUUAAUUCAACCGGGGAAGUGUACUUUGAAUCUGUUUUAUCAGAUCAAACAUUUGAGUUUGCUGUGGGCAUUUUUGGCAUUGUAACUUUGCAUUGUAUUACAUUUAUAAUACAAAAAUUGUUCAGUUUAGUGAAUUUGAAAUAUUGUUUGAAUGCAUUAAUAUGAAAGCCACCGCGAGGAUCUUCAUCGAUGAAAUUGUUGUUGAACAAAUUGAAUAAAAUAUCGUUUAUUCAUUAAUAUUGCAUGUAUUUAGAUGUGGGAAACUGCGACCAAAACCUAAAGCAGGUUUAGGAAACGCAGCAGAAAAUCCAAAUCAACAAUUGAACAAUCAGUUGCUGUCUAAGGUUAAAGUAUACGGGAAAAACUGGCGAUCAAUCAUUGAAUCAAACGUUGAAACAGAGAAUGCUGCUGCACAAAAAGAAGAUGAAGCCACAUACGUCGAAGAUCUAACCCAUCUUUCUUUCGAAGAGGCGGAGGCCCAUUUAUAACAGAGCAACGCGUCAAAUCAGCGUCCAACAGGACUAAAAACAGUUUGGCAUCGUGAUACAGUGGCUGCAAAAUGCAUCUUAUACAAAGUAUUUUUGACCUGUUCAAUGGAUACACUCCCGACAUAUUUCUACUGGAUCGUUAGCUUCAAAUACACUUCGAUGGGUUCAAUACAUACGUGGCUGUGACGCAGUAGAAUGCAGCAGCAUUUUAGUUUUAAUUUUGAUUUUUCGAUUUUAAUAAUAAUUCAUGUAACGUUAAGUUAUUCUGCUGGGAGCUGAUUUUGUGCCCAUGCCAAAGUACCUACCGCUGUGUCGGCUAGUAAGUCAAUAAAAUGCGGAUUGGAAUCUGUUCUGUGCAAAAUCGUUGUAAUAUUGUGUAAAAAUGUGGAGUUCAACGAGUGAAAGUGUUAUGAAUAAAUUUUGUGGAGAAAGGUGAUUUAGAAAAUUUCUCCAUGAAAAAUGCGUUAUAAAAACUUUGCAGCAACAACGACGUUUAAGAACAGAGGGAAACGUGAUAAAUAAAAAUUGAUCGCAUGCAAUACUUAUCUCA